rnacentral:rRNA from 1 species
GACGAACGCUGGCGGCGGGCUUAACACAUGCAAGUCGAACGGAAAGGCCCUGCGUGUUUGCGGUUCUGGAGUGGCGAACGGGGGAGUAAGAGGUGAGUAACCGGCCCUACACUUUGGGAUAACUUCAGGAAACUGGAGCUAAGACCGUAUAGCAUCUCCUCUUGCAUUGUGGGCGGGGGAUAUUUUCGGCUUGUGGGGAUGGACGCGCGGCUGAUGAGCUUGUUGGUUGGGUAGUGGCUUACCAAGGCUUUGACGGGUAGCCGGCCCGAGAGGGUGACCGGGCACAUUAGGCCUGCGAUACGGCCCAGACUGCUAUGGGAGGCAGCAGGGGCGAAUCUUGUCCAGUGGGAGGGAGCCUGAUGCGGAAACGUCGGGUGCGGGAUGACGGCCUUCGGGUUGUAAAACGCUUCCGCCUGUGACGCAGCGUGACUGACGGUAAUGGGUAAAGAAGCACCGGCUAACUACGUG